rnacentral:rRNA from 1 species
UACGUAGGGGGCUAGCGUUGUCCGGAAUCAUUGGGCGUAAAGCGCGCGUAGGCGGCCCGGUAAGUCCGUUGUAAAAGUCAAAGGCUCAACCUUUGAAUGUCAGUGGAUACUGCCGGGCUAGAGUCCGGAAGAGGCGAGUGGAAUUCCUGGUGUAGCGGUGAAAUGCGCAGAUAUCAGGAGGAACACCGAUUGCGAAGGCAGCUCGCUGGGACGUUACUGACGCUGAGACGCGAAAGCGUGGGGAGCAAACAGG